UCGGCAGAGAGCUUCAGGCUGACAGAGUGAGCUGGUGACGGACACCGAAAUACCGCCACCACGGCUCUCCAAACACCUCCAAACCACGCUGCAGCGACAUUCUUCAACCGUACCGAGCGUUUUGUACCACACAGAGACGGAAAAAUGUGAUUGCAAUCGGAGGCGGCUGCACUCCAAUGGUCCAGGACCUCACCUCACUUCUCUAGAAUGUACUUGAUGAAUGUACCUCCUGUCGCAGCGACGCAAACAGAAUGGAGAACGUGUGGCCCGCCUGGAGGCUAUAGCCUUCCGAUCUGCUUCAAUGACUCUGACCCCGAGUUGUCCACCAGAGGCACACCUAUCUCAGACAAGGUCCAGAUGAUCAUAGAGAGCCUUAGGAGCACCCAGUCCUCACUCGAGAUGGGCGAUGAUAUUGAGGGAAAUGUUCUAUCAGGACAAGAAGGUCAUCCCCAAGCCUGCAAGGCUGCAGUGGGUUCUUCUGCGGGAGCUAAACCCAAAACUAAAGGUCCCACCGAAAGCCAGCUAGCAGACGUGUCCUCCCCGACGAAUCAUGAGAUCAGUGACACUGACAGCGAUGACUCUGUGGACAGAGGAAUCGAGGAGGCAAUACUGGAGUACCUGAAGGAAAAGGAUGGUCACAAACGCAAAGCUGAACCGUGCUUUAACUUUUUCCAAUCAUCCAAAAUUCCCAGGAAAAACCCACCUGCUCCUGAAGUUCCCAAACAGAACUCGGACACAAACACAUUUUUGAUACCCAGUAGUCAGUUUCCAAAAAGCCUCAAAGCUGAGACUCCAACAGCACCGGCUGUCAUACCUAUAAAGAAGUACAUUAAACACAAGGCCUCAUUAGAAGAAAACAGCGCAAAGAAAUUUGACUCAAAUAAAAGUUCACUAACCAAAAGUUUAGUCUUGCCCAAAGAAGAGCAGACACAAAGCCCCUCCAAAACCGGCAGCCUCCUCAGUAAAGUAAAGUGCCCAGUCAGCGACAAACUGGAAGAAGACUCCGAUGACUCAAGCAGUGAUGAUGGCAUAGAGGAAGCCAUUCAAAGAUACCAGUUAGAGAAGAAGGAGCAGCAGAACAAAAGGGAAACCUUCAAUCCCCACGAAUUCAGUGAGGAUUCAGACUCCACUAGUGAUGAUGGGAUCGAGGAAGCUAUUCGUUGCUACCAGCUUGAGCAACUCAAGGAGAAGAGUGGUCUGAAACCAUUCCUGCACAAGCAGAAGACGUUUAGUAGGUCAGUUAUACAUGCUGUCGGAAGUAUAAGCAUGGAAAACAUGAAGAAACGUAAACUGAAAAAGAAAAAAUCAAGAACUGAUAAAGAAGCAAAAGCUGUUCAACCUCCACUUUUGUCUGCACCCAAGAAUGCACCAUCAGAGGGUUUGAAAGCUAAAGGAAAUGGACUGCCUUCAUUAAAAACGGAGAGUUCUAACGAGCCACCGGCUUUUCCUUCUGCCCCUCCGAAGGUGAAUACAACAGCAGAGCUAAUGUGUGCUGAAGCAAUUCUGGACAUUUCCAAAACUGUUAUGCCUGAGGCCUUCCAUCACAGCGUCAGUCUGAGCAGUUUCACCCCCUUAGAAUCUCCUCUGCAAUCUUCCCUUCCUGACAACAGCAAAGACAAAGAAAGUGAUGGCAGCUCCAUUGACAGUGAAGAUGGGAUCGAGCAAGAAAUCAGAAAAUUUCUCGAGCAGAAAGCCCAAAUGCAUCAGCAGCCACAAGAUUCUGCAAAAACCCAAGAAACUCAAAGUAUAAAUAAACCAGAUGAAGUGAAAGCAAAGCAAGUUACAACCCAGAAGAAACCUCUGAGAUUGUCUUUAACACAGAGAAGAAAAAACAGAGACGUAAAUGCAGCUAACGCAUCUGUGAAUGAAAACAAAGUGAGAGAAACAUCCUCUAAAACUGACUCAAGCCAGAGAGGUCAAACGCACCACGCCGGACUGCGUGAGAGAGACCAAAGCGGGGACAAAAGCAGCUCGCUUGACAGCGACGAAGACCUGGACACCGCCAUUAAAGACCUGCUCAAGACGAAAAAGAAGUCAAAGAAGAAAAGAGACUUAAAGCUGAAAUCAAAGAAGUGCCUCAAGGAUGAAGAAACCGUGCUAGGAAAUUCCUCACAGCCCAAGAAGUCAAAACAUAAUCCUACUUCCAAACGCAGUGCUUUGAAAAAAGUGCAAAAGGGUAAGGACGACAUGAAAGAGAAGUCUGGGCUGAGUAAAAAGACUGUUUUACAACACAAGCAAGCUGAUAAGAGUAAGGAGCGUGAUACGCACAAAGUAAGUGAGAGUCAUGACGCCCCACCGCUCAAUUCUCAGACUGCUCUUCAGAUCAAGGACGACAGCAGUUCAGUAGACAGCGAUGAUAGCAUUGAGCAAGAGAUCAGAAGGUUUCUGGCUGAAAAGGCAAAAGUUUCAGAUAAAAGAAAAGAUGAAGAUGUUUCGAGGAACGGCACUGAUGUGGCUCAAAGCCCUCCUAAAGAUAAAGACGUUAAACAGGAAAAUCAGCUGGCUGAAAUUCCAAGAAAAAGUACCAGUCCUCUCUCUGGGCAGUCUUUAACGCCACAAAGUUCUCAGCAAGACGCCUCAACUGUUGGAGUACUGCAUAUGUCUGCAGUCCUGCCCUGCAGCCCCGGUCUACUGGAGCCCGCUGAUGGUGCUGGGGCUGCCAGAAUGGAGCAAAAGCAGCCUAGCACUGGAAGAAGCGACACCAGUGAGGCAACGCCAUCCGCUGAAAGAGUUCGACAAGUUUUGAGCCCCAGUGCUGCUCAUUCCCGCUCUGAGUCAAUGAAGUGGCGCCAGAGCCUCGGCCUACCCACUACCGACACAAGGGCUCUCAGUCGGACUCCAUUCCAUAUCACGGCGUCUAGAAUCAGCGAGACGUCAUCAGCGACUGCACCGUAUCAAAGCGGGGUCAUCACCCCAAAAUCCCAGACUCCAGUCGCUGCCUGGUCCUCUGCAAGGACGGGCAGAGGACCGUUUCCCUGCUCUGCUGAGGCGACUGUAAACUCAACCUACAGAUCCACCGUUUUAAAUCUUUCAUCUCUUGCCAGGCAGCAUCCUAGGAUGUCCUUUGCACGCAGCCUUGGGUCCGACCACAGGUCACAGUGUCUGAUAGAGGGCGAGACAAAGAGUAUGGUGCACAUGUCUAAGGAUAAAAGUGUGUUUGUUGAACUGGAAACCAAUAGGACCAACCACGUCCAGGUUCGAAGCAGGGAAAGGAGCGAGGGAAAGGAGAGGGCGGACUCUCUAAGCGAGAGAAAAAGGGAAACAGAGAGCAUGAAGAUAGAGGAAAAAGAUCUAGAAAGAAGAGAGGAUGAAUUUAUAGAUGAGGCAGAAUGUGAGUCAGGCAGCAGGAGAAAUCAAGAGAAGAAGCAGGGCUUUCCCACUUUGUCUUUGUCCAGUGCCAUUGACCCUGGCAUCACCUUCAGACCUUGUAUAGCUCUCACAACAGAGGAGAGAAGCAGGAUGUUCAGCAGGAGGUACCAGACUGAAAAAAGCAGAGAGUUUUCCAGAACCUGUUUGUGAAAGUGUUGCUUCACUGUUGACCCACUCCUCCAAAAUGAUCUCCUUCCUGUCAAAGAAAACAAUCAACAUGGUGGUGCCUUCUCUCAGGAGUGUUCCUGUGCAGAACCAGGCUGUGCAGCGAGUCAAAAGAAAGCUUCACUUCAUCCCAGUUGACAGGAAGAAAUGAAGCACCAGGCUAUCCCAGCAAGCAGAUAAACCAGCCUUAGGUGUUGAAGAGUAAUUCUCCAUGUUCUGCGAAUGUUUUCUUAUACAGGUUCUCUAGGAUUUGACGUUUUAGGCCAUUUUUGCACCUUUUAAGCACAGUUCACUGUAGAAUUCAUCCAAUUUUCUGUUUUAGAGAAAUUUGUAACUGUAAGGAACGUUUAGGAGCACAGUUAAUGUUUGUGAAGCCAGCAGGCAGCAUUUAUGAUUGCUUGCACUGAGAUAAAAACGUUAGUCACCUCUGUCCAAACUUAUUUGGUUUUACUUGACUACAUGGGUGCGUGGGGGCAACUGACACACCAAUAAUUCUGCCCUCAAAUCAGCUGAUUU